rnacentral:rRNA from 1 species
GACGAACGCUGGCGGCGUGCCUAAUACCUGCAAGUCGAACGCAGUGGGGACGGGUGAGUAACACGUGGGUAACCUCCAAUCAGAGGGGAUAACACUUGGAAACAGGUGCUAAACAGAUACUGAUGGAUGAACCCGCGGUGCAUUUGCUAGUUGGUGAGGUAACGGCUCACCAAGGGCACGAUGCAUAGCCGCCCUGCGAUGGUGAUAGCCGCAACUGGGACUGCGCCACGACCCAGACUCCUGCGGGAGGCAGCAGUAGGGAAUCUUUGGCAAUGGACGAAAGUCUGACCGAGCAACGCCGCGUGAGUGAAGCAGGUUUUCGGAUCGUAACGCUCUGUUUUUAGAGAAGCGGAAUCUAACCAGAAAGCUACGGCUAACUACGUGCCAGCCGCCGUGGUGAUAC